AACACUGUUAACCUGCGGUACCUGCGGAGGGAUCAUUAUCGAGGAGGGUCUAUGGGCCCGAUCUCCAACCCUUUGAUAAAAACACCAUGUUGCUUUGGCAGGCCCGCCCGUUGGGGCCGCGGGGGAUCGCUGGUCCCUAGCCCGUGCCUGCCGGUAGCCUUCACAAAACUCUCAAAAUGCUGUCGUCUGAGAUGAUUAGAAUAAUUAAAACUUUCAACAACGGAUCUCAGAUCGGAAGAG
rnacentral:misc_RNA from 1 species